AAAUUGAAGAGUUUGAUCAUGGCUCAGAUUGAACGCUGGCGGCAGGCCUAACACAUGCAAGUCGAGCGGCAGCGGGAAAGUAGCUUGCUACUUUUGCCGGCGAGCGGCGGACGGGUGAGUAAUGCCUGGGAAAUUGCCCAGUCGAGGGGGAUAACAGUUGGAAACGACUGCUAAUACCGCAUACGCCCUA
rnacentral:rRNA from 1 species